GAUGAACGCUAGCGGCAGGCCUAACACAUGCAAGUCGAGGGGUAACAUAGAGAAGCUUGCUUUUCUGAUGACGACCGGCGCACGGGUGAGUAACGCGUAUGCAACCUGCCUCUUACUAAAGGAUAGCCCUAAGAAAUUGGGAUUAAUACUUUAUAGUAUGUAUCAUUCGCAUGUUUGAUACAUUAAAGGUUACGGUAAGAGAUGGGCAUGCGUCCUAUUAGCUAGAUGGUAAGGUAACGGCUUACCAUGGCAACGAUAGGUAGGGGGCCUGAGAGGGUGAUCCCCACACUGGUACUGAGACACGGACCAGACUCCUACGGGAGGCAGCAGUGAGGAAUAUUGGACAAUGGAGGCAACUCUGAUCCAGCCAUGCCGCGUGCAGGAAGACGGCCCUAUGGGUUGUAAACUGCUUUUAUUUGGGAAUAAACCCCUCUACGUGUAGAGGGCUGAAUGUACCAAACGAAUAAGGACCGGCUAACUCCGUG
rnacentral:rRNA from 1 species